GCUGACAUCACUCUGUCAAUUGACUAGAGUCUUCAGAAGCAACAAGAAGCCACGGCACACACACCACCAGAAGUUUUUUGGUGUGUUUCUCUCUAUGGAGCCCUAACAAAUGGAACUCAGCUACUCAAUGAAUUUUUGUGAGAUUCUGAGAAGCAGAACUUUAUCCCUUCGAAAGACUCAAAGCGCUAUUCUUGCUUGAUGGAAUAUCCGUGUAUGAUGUGAGGGUUCUCAGAGAUACAGAAACUCACACCUCUCUCACAUCAUCAUAUUGGAAGAGAUGAUUUGUACUAAGAGAUACCACCUAUGGGUAACUCUAAAGAUAGGCAGCCCAUGCCAGUUCACAGAAGACGAUUCCCGUGUUGGGUGGACACAAAAACAGAAGCCCCAAAGCAAACCCAGUUUCCUGGACAAUCACCAUUUCCCCAGGUUUGAUUCCUGCAAGAAAAAGACUUCACACAGGACCUUCCGGCAUAAACACAGCUCCAGCUUAACUAAAACUGACAUGACUAGGUGGGGGAUGGAAGCCUUGAUGUGACCCCUGGUAUAGUACAAGAGGAAGAGGCGCAGCAGAAGACCCAGAAGAGGUACCUCAGAUUCUGUCUCUCCGGGAAGCCUAAGCAGGCACCCACUGUGGCUCUUGUGCAGUGUGUUAUUUGCAUAGUGUUGUUACUAUGCUACUUGAGGAGAGUUGAGUACAGACAGACUGACUUCCUGAAGGAACAGAAGUGGAAAGGCUAAGUGUUGACUGGAUCAUGGCGUCUGGAUUUAUGGUCAAGCAGCUGGACACAUGGCAGAGUAUGUGGCAAGAAGACCAUGGGAUUAAUGUAAAGGUUCAUAGCUCCUCCUUGGUGUUCCGGUGACAGUGUCUGCAGUGAGGAAACUCGUGCCUCACUGAGUUUUACAUUGACCUUGUUGGAUACAGUUUUGCCCUUGCUGGUGUGUUUUGGAAAGGGUGUCACUCUCACGGAGACUCACAGGAUUCCAGACAGAUGCUGACUCCUCAUGUCCAGUCUCUCCCUUGUUCCUGAUGUCCUUUGUUGGGGGAGAACAGACUUUCAUAGUGUAAGGCUCUGAGGUCUCUUGGAAGGAAUCAAAUGAAGUUACCCAUUUCUAAAACUUUUCUGUCUCAAACAUAGGCAAGUUUGUUUUCUCCUCUAAAUUAUGUUCUAAGUAACAACAAUAAAAAGAUCUGAGAACUGUU